rnacentral:rRNA from 1 species
UACGUAGGGUCCGAGCGUUGUCCGGAAUUAUUGGGCGUAAAGAGCUCGUAGGCGGUGUGUCACGUCGGCCGUGAAAACCUGCAGCUUAACUGUGGGCGUGCGGUCGAUACGGGCAUCACUGGAGUUCGGCAGGGGAGACUGGAAUUCCUGGUGUAGCGGUGAAAUGCGCAGAUAUCAGGAGGAACACCGGUGGCGAAGGCGGGUCUCUGGGCCGAUACUGACGCUGAGGAGCGAAAGCGUGGGGAGCGAACAGG